GGACAACCUUCAACAACAACACCUUUGGCUAGAGGGCAAUGCGCUAGAGGGCAAUGGUCUGAAUUCUCAAGCCCCCACCAAUCAGGUAAGCUUAUAUCAUUGUUCUGGAAUGCGAAGAAUAUCAACACUCCCAUAAUCGCAGUACCUGCAUCAAGCGCCGCAGAGAGGAUGUAAUUGUGCCUCGCCCACCAAGUUUUGAACCUCCUGAAGAUGUAGUAGUUGAACACAACCCCAACGAUGGCCCAGGACCAGUAAUGCACAGCCUUAGCUUGUGGCAUGG